rnacentral:rRNA from 1 species
UACAUGGGGUGCAACCGUUGCUCGGAAUUAUUGGGCGUAAAGCGCGCGUAGGCGGUUACUUAAGUCGGAUGUGAAAGCCCUCGGCUUAACUGAGGAAGUGCACCCGAAACUGAGUAGCUAGAGUACGAAAGAGGGUCGCGGAAUUCCCGGUGUAGAGGUGAAAUUCGUAGAUAUCUGGAGGAACACCGGUGGCGAAGGCGGCAUCCUGGACCGACACUGACACUGAGGAGCGAAAGCCAGGGGAGCAAACGGG